AUUGCUUCUUGGCCUUUUGGCUAAGAUCAACUGUAGUAUCUGUUCUUAUCAGUUUAAUAUCUGAUAUGUCUUCUACCUGAGGACAAUAUAUUAAAUGGAUUUUUGGAACUAGGAGUUGGAAUAGGAGCUUGCUCUGUCCACUCCACACAUCAACCUGGUAUUGCUGUACCUCCAGGAACGGUGCACCCCCU
rnacentral:snRNA from 1 species